rnacentral:rRNA from 1 species
UACGUAGGGUGCGAGCGUUGUCCGGAAUUACUGGGCGUAAAGAGCUCGUAGGUGGUUUUGUCGCGUUGUCCGUGAAAACUCACAACUCAAUUGUGGGCGUGCGGGCGAUACGGGCAGACUGGAGUACUGCAGGGGAGACUGGAAUUCCUGGUGUAGCGGUGGAAUGCGCAGAUAUCAGGAGGAAUACCGGUGGCGAAGGCGGCAUCCUGGACCGGCAUUGACGCUGAGGAGCGAAAGCCAGGGGAGCAAACGGG